rnacentral:rRNA from 1 species
UGAGGAAUAUUGGUCAAUGGGCGAGAGCCUGAACCAGCCAAGUCGCGUGAAGGAAGACUGCCUUAUGGGUUGUAAACUUCUUUUAUACAGGAAUAAAAAGGCUUACGUGUAGGCCAUUGCAAGUACUGUAUGAAUAAGCAUCGGCUAACUCCGUGCCAGCAGCCGCGGUAAUACGGAGGAUGCGAGCGUUAUCCGGAUUUAUUGGGUUUAAAGGGUGCGCAGGCGGGCUUUUAAGUCAGCGGUGAAAUCUGGACGCUUAACGUCCAAACUGCCGUUGAAACUGGGAGUCUUGAGUAUGGAUGAAGUAGGCGGAAUUCGUUGUGUAGCGGUGACAUGCAUAGAUAUAACGAGGAACUCCGAUUGCGUAGGCAGCUUACUAAGCCAUAACUGACGCUCAUGCACGAAAGCGUGGGGAUCAAACAGGAUUAGAUACCCUGGUAGUCCACGCCGUAAAACGAUGAUUACUAGUUGUAUGCGAUAUGAUAGUAUGUGACUAAGCGAAAGCGAUAAGUAAUCCACCUGGGGAGUACGCCGCAACGGUGAAACUC